rnacentral:lncRNA from 1 species
AUUUUGGAAUAUUUUAAAAUAUAAUGAAACAUUCAUUUUUAUGAUUUUUUUAUUUUAUAAUCGUAUUUUAUUAGUUUAUUUUACUAUUAUACUCCUUAUCCUAAAAUUGACUUCUGAAGGUCUGUGAUCAUACUUAUUAAUGUCUGUACUUGCCCAAGCAGAAACUGAAAAAAAAUUUAAACUGCCCAUAGCAUUAUUUUAAGUAGUAGGACUGUUUUCUGUUCUUGGUUAUUGUCCAUUCCUUGACUUAGAUAUACAUAGAAAAUAAGCAAAGAGCAAAUACCAAAAGCCCCCAGAUUUGACCCUGUGGAAAACUGACAACACACUUGUCACAACAAGUCACAAGGAGGGGAAGGUGAUUUGGUAGAGUUAGGCUCUGGAGCUUAGGAAUAUUAGUAGAACAUAUUUACCCUAUUAUCCUUAUUUUUUUUGCAUCAAUUACCUUAUUCAUUCCCAGGUAAUGAGAAAUUGAGAUACAAAUUCUACACCAAGGUGUUGGCUCCCGAGAGCAAGGAAUGCGUUUCUGGAUGAUGGGUGGCGAGAAUGACUUGGAUGCUUAGGUAUGCAUCCCUAACAUCAUCCCUUAAAUGUGUCAUCUAGACUCUAAGUAUAUCAAAUGUUAGAACUGUCCAUCUGGAGUCAUAAGAGGAGGACUGGUUAAUGGUUACUCGGUGAGUAAGACACUUGCCACCAUGCCCAAAAUGUCAUAAUGAAUAAACAUUGGAACAGACAAGACUAAAAACUAGCUGGGCAAACUCUUAAACUCUUCAUGCCCAUGUCUGAUGUCAGAGUACUCCAGAUCUCCAACUCCUUUAAUCUUGGUUGACGGCAGCACGACUCUCUUUGGCUGGUUCCACUCCCUGUUAGCAGCUUUCCUUGGCAGUAUCCUGUGACUCUGACAUCUCAAGUCUCCAAAGCAACUUAACUUUACAGCUUCUUGUUUCAAUGACUGGGAUCCAUACAUGAUCUUCUGGGCUCCUCCAGAGGGCUGUCAUCACAUCUCCAGCUCUGCCCUCUGUCGCACUCUAAGCUCAGGUUGAUCUACUCCACUGCUGUUGCUGUUCUUGGUGAUCAUCCUAUGGUACUGGCAUCUCCAAUACACCGGGAGCUUCCGCUGCAACUCAGCUUUACCAUUAGCCUCUCAUAGGCUUUCUUCAUGGUGCCAACCCUCAACUUCUUUGGGCCAUCAACUGCAGCUAAGGCUGUACCUUCACCAAUGGCCAUCCUUGGUGCCAAGCCUCAGCUGCUCUCCAGGAUUCCUUCAUGCCUUCAAAACCAUCUUGGUGAUUCUUAUACAUUACCAAGACCAGCUGCAGCACGAGGUACAACCUUGGCUAUCUCUGGAACACGGUUUCUUUGUGCUCUCAGAAAAUGCUUCCCAAAUUUCACCUCAGUGAUGCUGGUCUCUUCUUAAUCGCCAUUAAUUUCUUAGCUCCAGCUAACCAGCAUCAACUGUCCUAGUAGUUACUUCUCUUUUUGACUCUAAAGCCAGAGCUACAUGGCCAAAGCUGCUGAGGCCUGCUGCUUGCUGGGGCUGGAACAUGGCCCCCUUGUUCUAUUAUAUCAUCACCAGCUUUCAGUUUUCCAGCUUCUCCACUGCCUAAGCUUAGUGGUCCUGGAACUUGCUCUGUAGAUUGACCUUGAACUCAAGAGAUCUGCAUGGCUCUGUCUCCUGAGUAUUGCAAUAAAAGGCGUGUGCCAUCAUGCCUAGACUUAGUCUUUUCUCUACUUGGAACUUGCUCCAUUCCAGACUGGCUUUGAACUCCGAGAUCUGCUUGCCUUUGUCUCCUGGGAUUAAAGGUGCCUGGACUAAGCUUAGCUUGGUGGAAUCUUGCCCCAAGGUCACCACUCCCUUAUCAUGUUUAUCUCCUUGAAUAUAAGAUUCAGCUCCAUUCACUUGCUGGUGCCCCUUUAUUACUUGAACCAUAUGUUUUAUAUGUUUCCUUUCUCAGCUUGCUCCUUUGCAUUAAAACGCUCUUCAUAAGACAAAACCAGAGAACAAAGACUCCGCUGGGCUUUUUUGGAGACUUCCUAUGUCAUUGCAAUUAAUAUAAAUCUCUUUACCUUAGCCUCAAGGAAAUUCUUCAGACAAAGGCAAAAAGCAGCCACAGUCUUCACCAAAAUACUACAAAAAACUAUCUCUAGAACUUCUGCUCCACUGAAACUUCUUGGGCCAAGUCUGAACGGUUCAAAUCACUCUCAGCAACAAAGUCUUCCAUAUGCCUACUAGGAUGGCCCAGUAAGCCCCACUUAAAACAUUCCACUGCUUUCCAAUUCCAAAGUCCCCAAAUUCACAUUCCUCCAAAUAAAAGCAUAGUCAGGCGUAUCACAGCAAUACCCCAGUCCCUGGUACCAACUUCUGUCUUACUUAAGAGUUUUACUGCUGUGAACAGACACCAUGACCAAGGCAACUCUUAUAAGGCCAACAUUGGGGCUGGCUUACAGGUUCAGUCCAUUAUCAUCAAGGUUGGAGGAUGGCAGUAUCUAGACAGGCUUGAUAUGGGAGGAGCUGAGAGUUCUACAUCUUCUUCCAAAGGAAGCCAGAAGUAGACUGUCUCCCACAUGGCUAGGAGGAGGGUCUCAAAGCCCACCAGACAGUGACACACUUCCUCCAAGGAGGCCAUACCUAUGCCAACAAGGUCACACCCCCUAAUAAUAACACUUCUCAGGUGAAGCAUGUUGAAUUCGCCACAGCAUCAAAGCUUAACACUGCUACAUAUUAUGUUACCUAUAUAGCUUUACAAGCCAGGGCUAGAAUAUUGUGAGGGACCAAAGAAUUUAUUCUAUAUCCAUACUGAUCGUUACUCCUUUCCUGCCCCCUUAAAUCCUGAAAAUGUAACUAGAAUAAUAGGGUUGUUCUUGUGGCUAUUGACUCCUUUCAAAUAUAAACAAACC